UCGGGCGGCACGCCGAAUCCUGCCCCCGCUCGACGAGAAUCAAACCUUUGGCAGGAGCGGGGGAACCAAUUCCGGGCGCCGAUAAAAGACGUCCUCGGGGUGAAGCCGCGAUGCGCGGCCGGGCAUUCCCAGCCCGAACCCGACAGCUCACCUCGCAGGCGUGGGGAAGGGCAACU
rnacentral:sRNA from 2 species